rnacentral:rRNA from 1 species
AACGAACGCUGGCGGCAUGCCUAACACAUGCAAGUCGAACGAGACCUUCGGGUCUAGUGGCGCACGGGUGCGUAACGCGUGGGAAUCUGCCCUUGGGUUCGGAAUAACAGCGAGAAAUUGCUGCUAAUACCGGAUGAUGACGUAAGUCCAAAGAUUUAUCGCCCAAGGAUGAGCCCGCGUAGGAUUAGCUUGUUGGUGAGGUAAAAGCUCACCAAGGCGACGAUCCUUAGCUGGUCUGAGAGGAUGAUCAGCCACACUGGGACUGAGACACGGCCCAGACUCCUACGGGAGGCAUCAGUGGGGAAUAUUGGACAAUGGGCGAAAGCCUGAUCCAGCAAUGCCGCGUGAGUGAUGAAGCCUUAGGGUUGUAAAGCUCUUUUACCCGGGAUGAUAAUGACAGUACCGGGAGAAUAAGCCCGGCUAACUCCGUGCCAGCAGCCGCGGUAAU